GCCAGUGUGGCGUAGUGGUUUGAGUGUUGGACUAUGACUCUGGAGACCUGAGUUCAGUUCCCAGCUUAGCCA